UAGGGAAUCUUCCGCAAUGGACGCAAGUCUGACGGAGCAACGCCGCGUGAGUGAAGAAGGAUUUCGGUUCGUAAAACUCUGUUGUUAGAGAAGAACAGCGCAUAGAGUAACUGUUAUGCGUGUGACGGUAUCUAACCAGAAAGCCACGGCUAACUACGUGCCAGCAGCCGCGGUAAUACGUAGGUGGCAAGCGUUGUCCGGAUUUAUUGGGCGUAAAGCGAGCGCAGGCGGUCAAUUAAGUCUGAUGUGAAAGCCCCCGGCUCAACCGGGGAGGGUCAUUGGAAACUGGUUGACUUGAGUGCAGAAGAGGAGAGUGGAAUUCCAUGUGUAGCGGUUAAAUGCGUAGAUAUAUGGAGGAACACCAGUGGCGAAGGCGACUCUCUGGUCUGUAACUGACGCUGAGGUUCGAAAGCGUGGGUAGCAAACAGG
rnacentral:rRNA from 1 species